rnacentral:misc_RNA from 1 species
UCCGGUUUGGCACCGGCAGUCUCCCUAGAGUUCCCGGCAUGACCCGCUGGCAACUAAGGACAGGGGUUGCGCUCGUUGCGCCACUUAAGGCAACACCUCACGGCACGAGCUGACGACAGCCAUGCACCACCUGUGCAGGCUCCGAAGAGCGCCCGCUUUCACGGGUUUCACCCUGCAUGUCAAGCCCUGGUAAGGUGGGGAUGACGUCAGAGAGUACGUCC